CGUGCUAAGGUAGCAUAAUAAAUCGUCUACUAAUUGUAGAAUAGAAUGAAGGUCACACGAAAAUUCAACUGUCUCAAAAAAACACUUGUGAAAAUAAAAAAUACGUGAAUAUACGUAUACUAACGGCAAGACGAUAAGACCCUACGAACUUUACCAAAAAUUUACAUUCUAUAUAAAAUAAAAAAAAUAAAAAAAAUAUAAAUAAUACGUUUCGUUGGGGCAACGACCUUAAAAAAGUAACUAAGGUUAAAAUAAUCAAUAUAAAAUAAGACUAAUCAACCAAAAAUAAAAAAGAUAGAACCCAUUACACACACAACAAAAAACUAAUGCAAAAAAAUAAAAGUUUCCGUAGGGAUAACAGCGUAAUAUUAUUUUCAAGAAAAUCAAUCUUAAAUAAAGAUUUGCGACCUCGAUGUUUGAAUUCGUUGUAUCCAGAAGCCAAAUAUCUUCAACGGUUGGACUGUCCUUUCCAUUAAAACAACACGUGAUCU
rnacentral:rRNA from 1 species